AGAGCACAAAAGUGCGAUCUACACAUCACUCAAAUUAGUAUUAUUGCUAACAAAUGAUGAUAGAAGUGCUGUAUUAAUAUUAUAUUUUUGUGGGGUGCAGGUGAUCGUAAAUUAAAGUUAAAAUACGCAUUGGGUCCAAAAAGAUGCAUCACCAUAUGUGACCAGCCAACCGUAUGGGUCAACCCCAGUUGCAUACUAGAAGGAGGUUAAGUUCAGCCUUUCAGGUUCACUGCAGCCAAUUCAAAGCAGCCUAUGCACCCGUUUGUGAUUCUCCCACU
rnacentral:lncRNA from 1 species